AUUGAACGCUGGCGGCAGGCCUAACACAUGCAAGUCGAGCGAGCGGCGGACGGGUGAGUAAUGUAUGGGGACUGCCCGAUAGAGGGGGAUAACUACUGGAAACGGUGGCUAAUACCGCAUACUGUCGGAUAACCAAUAUGGGAUUGGCUAGUAGUGGGGUGAAAGGCUCACCUAGGCGACAAUCUCUAGCUGGUCUGCGAGGAUGAUCAGCCACACUGGGACGGAGACACGGCCCAGACUUCGACGGAGGCAGCAGUGGGGAAUAUUGCACAAUGGGCGCAAGCCUGAUGCAGCCAUGCCGCGUGUAUGAAGAAGGCCUUAGGGUUGUAAAGUACUUUCAGCGGGGAGGCGUUACCCGCAGAAGAAGCACCGGCUAACUCCGUGCCAGCCGCCGCGGUAAUUC
rnacentral:rRNA from 1 species